UCUCCGGCAACCUCCGACCAUGGUUGCUCGGAUCUGGACCAGCUACUGCUCCUACUGCUUCAGGUGGACGAGGACGAGCCCUCCCUCAUGGCUGCUGCGGCUGCCUACUCCCUCCUCCUACCCCCUGGCCUGGUGUGAGUGGUGGAGUUAAUGAGCCGGGAUGAAGUUCGAGAAGUUGCAUUACACCGUGUAAAUAUAAUGAGCCGUGGAAGACAAGUGCACCGGGAUUUCUGGAGGUAACAUGCCUCUGAUUGUAUGCACUGAAUUUCAGAUG